rnacentral:rRNA from 1 species
GAAUAUUGGACAAUGGCCGCAAGGCUGAUCCAGCCAUCCAGCGUGCAGGAAGAAGGCCCUAUGGGUUGUAAACUGCUUUUGUCAGGGAAGAAACCUUUGGAUUUACUCCGAAGCUGACGGUACCUGAAGAAUAAGCACCGGCUACCUCCGUGCCAGCAGCCGCGGUAAUACGGAGGGGGCGAGCGUUAGCCGGAAUUACUGGGUUUAAAGGGUGCGUAGGCGGCGCUGUAAGUCAGGAGUGAAAGUUUGCGGCUCAACCGUAAAGUCGCUUUUGAUACUGCAGUGCUGGAAUUAGGAUGAGGUCAGCGGAAUGUGGCAUGUAGCGGUGAAAUGCAUAGAUAUGCCAUAGAACACCAAUUGCGAAGGCAACUGGCUAGACCUGGAUUGACGCUGAGGCACGAAAGCGUGGGGAGCGAACAGG